ACAAAAUGUUCUGUUUACACUGGCGUUGCUGACUAUCCUACCAUAUUCAGCACUUUUAAAUAUAUUAUUUAUGAAAAUGUAGUUAAAAUGCAAGAUAGAAAAUAUUUAUAAUAAUCAUUUCUUUUAACAAAUGCCUGUUUUUUUCUGAAAGUGUUAGUUUGUUAAGACAUAUUUUAUCCAUGUCACUUAGAUAUUUAACUAUUUGAAUAAUAGUUUUCAGUAAUAUGUUGAAAAAGAUAGCUAUAAAGAUGUUUACAAAAAGUCAUAUUUUUUUCCUAGAGUAAAGAAAAACCUAAAAGAAUCAUCACUUCUAUUGUGAAGUUCUAUUGUUCAUAAAUUAAUUUUUUUCUUGAUUAGAAUUGAGUUUAUUAUGCUACUAUGAUGUAUACACAUAUAUGGUGUAGUAUCAUACUUGUUUCUGUGUUUGAGGCACAAUAAAUUGGUGCAAAUGACUAGAAAAUAUGUAAUAUACUAAGAUAUACUGCAUGCAUUGAUCUUUUUAAAUGUAGACUUUAUAUUCCUGUUGUUACUAUAUAUGAUGGUGACCUACUAGUCAUAAGUUAUCUUUAUAAGAUACUUUGGACUACUAGAUGAAUUGUCUGUUUGACAAUACUUUUAAUAUUUUACCAAAUGAAAAGAUAAGGGCCCUAAUAAAGAGUACUAAUCUCUAACCUGGGCAUUGUAUAAUUGAGAUUUUGAAGUUGGUAUAUACUUUUGAAAUUUGAUUAGGAAGUUGUGUUGAGAAUGAUUCUAGAGCAGAUUUACAAAUCAGAUGUUGGUAACCAUGCUAUUGAGCAUUUUCUGUGCUAAACUCAUAUUUUAAGGGGAGAGUAGGGUUUCUCAUUUAAUUUCAAAAUGUUUAAAGUUUCUAAGUGUAUAUUUGCAACUCUACCAGUUUUUUAAGUAUGGUAUAAUUCCUUCAGUUUAAGUUACAGAGCUGUAAUAAACAAAAAAGCUCUCAACUGGUGUUUAUGCUACCAUUCCAAGAGCACAAUAUUUAUUUUAAUAGAAUUUGAUUUUUCUUAUUGAGUAAAUUCCUCCCUGGGGAAAAAUUAGCACUUUAAAAGAGACACUUUGUGGUUUAGAUUGCCAAGAUACCUUUGUAUACUGUUAAAAUCUGCUAAUGUACACAGAAAGAGGUUAAUGCACUUUUUAUAAUGCCUAUCUUCAGACAUAUCUACAAUGGAAAGAAAAGUAGAGAAUAUAGAUUACGUAUAUAUAAAUAAGUUGAAGAACCAGAUUUCUUCAGAGAUUGAUCUUGUACAUAAAUCGCAUUUAUAAUAGAUGGAUGACACUUCUCUACUCUGGCUAAUUGUUAUUACAUUACCCAAAGGUAGUAUAGAUGCUGUGACAGUGUUACAGGAUGCAUAUGAACAAGAGUAAAACAAAACACAGCUUUGAUAAUGAAGUUACUAAAUGCAAACUCAAGACUAAAAUGUGGUCUCUGUGGUAUCUUUUUUUUUUGAAAUCCAAAAUGUGUACAUAGGAUAAGCAGUUCUGAUAUUUGUCCAUAGCGCAUGGGGUAUUUAUUAGUCUCCCUAAUGCUGCCUAGGUUCUUACCUACACAAUGAAAUGAGUACUGCAUAUGUAUCUGAUAGUUCAGUUUUACAAAAUUACUAUCAAAAUAGGUAAAUAAUGUUUAUUAGGGGCAAAAAUAUUUUUCACCCAUUAAGCUUAUUUAAAAUACUUGAUUUUUAAUUUUGAAUUUAUCAAUUUUUCUAUACAUCUUUCUGUACUGAAAAAAAUAAGUCAUAGUGUAAUUGUGACAAACUACAUUUGUGAAAAAUAUAAAUUAUCAGAUGCUUUGGUGAAGAAACGUAAAGGGGAGGAAUUUAAAAUACGAUCAGAAAAUGGGAAAAUAAAACCCUUUGAAAACCAUGUAAAUUUUUUCAGAGAGAGAAAAUGCCUAGGAAUCCUAUCAAAGGUGAAUUUUGAAUACUUUGAGCUUGAUACAUUGGCAAAUUAUUUUGAAAGAUGGUAAGGAUAUUUCCAGAAAAAAAAUUCUUGUCCAUAUAUUUACAUUGACAGUUUAUGAACUUGAUUUUCAAAGUAUUUUUUGCAAACACUUGUAUUUGAGUGGUGUUAUUUGGUUUUUAAAUUUAUGACCAAUAUAAAAUGUUUGUUCUCCUGAGAAAACAGUAUUCAAUCUGUAACAAUUUUAGUAAUUCUUCACUUACUACAAUUGCAAAUAUUUAUCAAUAAAACUGGUAUCAAAAACUUGCUUCAGAUCUUCUCUGCAACACUUACAAUAUCCUUGCAACAAACAGGGCACAAAGUGAUAAAUAUUAUUUCCAAAUAGCAGGCUUUGAUUUCUUUACCAGUAUUGUAAAAACUAUUACUCUUAUAGGUAUAGUCCUCUCCAGCCCCAACUGACAUCUUUUCAGAUUAAUUUAAGGGGAUAUUCAAGACUUUGACUCAAAUAAAAACACUACAAAGUAUUUCACUAACUGAUAAUAGUUUGGGGACUAAUUUCAUUCCUAUGACAGAAGCUUUUAGAUGAAUAGGGAAAAGGAAUGCUAUUAGACACUGAUAACAAUAACCAGAUGUGGGUUUUUUGGAGUUGUUUUGUUUUGGCAGCUGGCCAGUACAGGAAUAGAACUCUGGACUUUGCUGCUAUUAGCACCAUGCUCUAACCAAGUGAGCUCAGAUGUACUAUUUUUUAGUAUGUCAUAUGUUAACCAGAAAUCCCUUUUUCCCUCAUUAUUUCUCUUAUUAAAUCUCUUUUCUGUUUCAGAAAUUUAGGAAUUUCAAAACUGUUGAAUUGUACCUAAUUGCUGCCACAGCAUUCCAGCUUUUAAAGUUACAAAUGAACACUUUGGAGUAAUAGUUAAAUAGACUGUAUUUCUGUCCUAUGCUUGCAUACAUUUCCUUUCUAAAGAUCUAGUUCUUAUUGCUAUAUUAAAUGAUGCCACAUACAAUGCUUACUAAUAAAAAUAUAUGUCCAAAGGUUCACAUAUGGAGUACAACAUAAAAACAUCAGAAACUUAGAAUUACAAAUUUGAUUUCAAGUUACAUUUCUGUCUCAUGUGACUUUAGGCAAGUCAUUUAUCCUGAGUGUUUCCUCAUCUGUAAAUAAACAAAUAAUAAUUUACAAAAUGGCUAUGGGCACUAAAUAAAAAAAACAUGGAAAGAAUAAAGUGCUACAUAUAACAUUAUUUUAUCAAAGUUCUUUGGUUCAAUAAUUGCUAUUUUCAGGAAUGUCAGUAUUAAAUGUUAUUUAAAUGCACUUCUCCCCUAUUUUUUCAAAGUAUACUUUGAAAAUGAUUUAAUUAUUGAUCUAAAAAAUACAACCAGGCUUAUCUUAACAUGGAAGACUAUAUCAAUGUUAUUGCUUUGUUUAAUAAUGUGAUUCAAAAUCACUAUUUUCAGUUAUCAAUAACACACCUAAUCUACAAUCUAGAAGUGUUUCUUUCAAUGUCAUCACACAUACACACACAAUUGUAGGUCAAAAUUAAAGUUUAUAUGAGAAAUCAUUUGAAAAAUUUAUUUCCAAUGGAAAUAAAACAACAUUCCCAAAGAUAGGAAUAAUAUAAAUAUCGAGUCAUUUACCAAGUUUGUAAAUGGGUGGUAGAGCUAAAAUUAAGUUAUAAGAGACUGACAAUUAUAAAACAUUAUUUUUAUUACGGUAGUGUGAUUUUCUUUAACAAUUUGACGAUGAAAAUACAACAAGAAAAAUUAAUAAAAGGUGGUUAUGUGUUCAUAAAAAUUUUCAUUAAACCUUUUAUUUUAGGAUAGUUUUAGAUUUACAGAAAAACUGCAAAGAUAGUACAAAGCAGUCCCAUAUACCCCACACCCAUGGAACAUUUUGUCACAAUGAACAAACCAAUAUUGAUUCAUUAAGUCCACACUUUUCCUUAGUUUUUACCUAAUGUCCUCUUUCUGUUCUAGGAUCUCAUUUAGGACGCCACAUUACAUUUAGUUGUCACGUCUCCUUAGGCUCUUCUUAGCUGUAAGAUCCUUGUUUUUGAUGACUUUGACAGUUGUGAGGAGUACUGAUCUGGUAUUUUGUAGAAUGUCCCUCUGUUGGGAUUGGUCUUAUAUUUUUCUCAUGAUUAGACAGUGGUUUUGGUUUUCAGAAGGAAGACCACAGAGGUAAAGUGCCAUUAUCAUCACAUAUCAAAGAUACAUACCAUCAUCAUGACUCCUCUUAGCUGUAACAGUUUCUCAAACUUUAGGCUCCCUUUAGCUCUUGAUGUUGACCUUGAUAACCUGCCUGAGGUAGUGUCUGUCCAUUGAUGUUGCUGUUGACCUUGACCCACAGGGCUGGGGUAGUGCCUGUAAGAUUUCUCCAGUGUAAUAUAAUACAUUUUUUAAGAGUUUAUACUGGAAAUAAGUUUAGUGGACAUUUACACUAACCUAAAAAAAUUCUCAGAUUUCUCAACAUUAAUAUUAGGUUCCAUUAAAUGCUUACUAACAAAUGCUAUGAAGAAAAUACAAUGAACUGGAAAGUGAAAUGGGAAAAUAAAACUCUGAAACACUGUUAGCUUGAAUAUUCAUUUAAUACAGAUGAAAGUGAUUUUUAUUCCCUUGAACUACGUAGAUCCUCUACAUAAUUUGGAUAUCAAAGACUUUAGUUUUACUAAUUCUCAUAAAAGAUAAUUUAAAUUGAUAACCAUUUUGUUUAGUGCUUUUCUAUAUUGCCUUCCACUGAACAAUGAACACUGAAUAUUGAGAUAAUGUAAAAAGACUUGAUAUUUUUCCACCUGGCUUUAACCUAUUUGUCAUAAACACAGUGUUUCUUGUAUAUGAUUUUAAGAUGUUUGCUAAAUCUUACAAAGAAUUUCAGUGUGUUUGGUUCUGUAAGAUUUCUUACUGAUGGUAAUUUUUUACUAUCAUGUUCAUUGUACUUAAUAAUCUAUAUCCAUAUUUUGGAUUCCACCAAUAUUUAUUAGUGGACUAUAAGCAAUUUGGAAUGCAUGAAUACAAACAACUUAAGAGGUACCACACCUGGCUAUUUUGCAAUGCCAGAAUAACUGUAGGUAUUAAUAUUGAAUAGAUAAUCCAGAUUAUCUUUCCUCCAAUUUAAGUUAUUCUGGGUUUUUAUUUUCACUUCCUUGAAUCUAUUUUAUCAGUUUACUAUGUAUAAUAGACUUCCUGAAAAUGUUAAAGUUUUCACCAUGUGACUAAUUUGAGCAUGACAAUAAUGUAAGAAAAUUCAGAAGUCUCGAAGUAUAUGUCUUUGAGUUCUCAAAGUAAAUCAAACUACAGCUGUUUUCAUUUGACUAUAUUGUGGAAACCUAUGGAUGUGAUUGUAAAAUGCAUAUACAUUACACUGACUUUCUUAAAAUGUUUUGAAUGAAUAAAGAAUUCACCGAUAUACCCUUAGACAAGUUACUGUUUCCUCAUUCGUCUAACACUAUAAAAAUAAAAGGAACUUACAUGUGUUACUUAAAUUGCUUAUGCAUCUGAGGGAAGAUAAUAAAUUCUGGCUAGAUUCUUUACAUUGUUCUGUAAGGUUAUUGCUUAUUACAAUUUUGCACCUUUUAUAAAUAAUAAAAUAUACUCUUGAAAUGA